AUGCAAGUCGAACGGUAACAGGUCUUCGGAUGCUGACGAGUGGCGAACGGGUGAGUAAUACAUCGGAACGUGCCCGAUCGUGGGGGAUAACUACUCGAAAGAGUGGCUAAUACCGCAUACGAUCUACGGAUGAAAGCAGGGGACCCGCAAGGGCCUUGCGCGGACGGAGCGGCCGAUGGCAGAUUAGGUAGUUGGUGGGAUAAAAGCUUACCAAGACCGCGAUCUGUAGCUGGUCUGAGAGGACGACCAGCCACACUGGGACUGAGACACGGCCCAGACUCCUACGGGAGGCAGCAGUGGGGAAUUUUGGACAAUGGGGGAAACCCUGAUCCAGCAAUGCCGCGUGCAGGAUGAAGGCCUUCGGGUUGUAAACUGCUUUUGUACGGAACGAAAAGGUUCUUUCUAAUAAAGAGAGCCCAUGACGGUACCGUAAGAAUAAGCACCGGCUAACUACGUGCCAGCAGCCGCGGUAAUACGUAGGGUGCAAGCGUUAAUCGGAAUUACUGGGCGUAAAGCGUGCGCAGGCGGUUAUGUAAGACAGAUGUGAAAUCCCCGGGCUCAACCUGGGAAUUGCAUUAGUGACUGCAUAGCUUGAGUGCGGCAGAGGGGGAUGGAAUUCCGCGUGUAGCAGUGAAAUGCGUAGAUAUGCGGAGGAACACCGAUGGCGAAGGCAAUCCCCUGGGCCUGCACUGACGCUCAUGCACGAAAGCGUGG
rnacentral:rRNA from 1 species